UACGUAGGGUGCAAGCGUUAAUCGGAAUUACUGGGCGUAAAGCGUGCGCAGGCGGUUGUGCAAGACCGAUGUGAAAUCCCCGGGCUUAACCUGGGAAUGGCAUUGGUGACUGCACGGCUAGAGUGUGUCAGAGGGGGGUAGAAUUCCACGUGUAGCAGUGAAAUGCGUAGAGAUGUGGAGGAAUACCGAUGGCGAAAGGCAGCCCCCCUGGGAUAA
rnacentral:rRNA from 1 species